GACUGUGGUGUCAAAAAAGGCGUAAACUACACACUUUGCAGCCUUUACCUGCCCUUGAAUUUGAUGUCUUUGGUGGAAGAGCUGUGUAAGUAACAGCU